rnacentral:tmRNA from 1 species
GGGGGCGAAUUUGGCUUCGACGGGGGUAUGCCGAGCACCAUUAACUCGUAAAUCUGAUGGAACAUCCGUUAACUGCGGAUUCUCAGUACGCUCUCGCUGCUUAAUUAAGCAGUGACGUUCGCCUUGACCUCGCCUGGUGGUUGAGGGCCGAACGCCAUUAAACAGGCUGGCUGGCACGUGGCGCCUCGGCGCGUGCCGGCGAGAUUUACCGGGGAUAAGGCCCGGCGGUACUUAGCCGCUUCCACACGACGGGCACGAAAAUUUCGAAGCGGACACGCAUGUAGAGUCCCACGACGACGUGCUUUCGGACGCGGGUUCGACUCCCGCCGCCUCCACCA